rnacentral:rRNA from 1 species
UACAGAGGUCUCAAGCGUUGUUCGGAAUCACUGGGUGUAAAGGGUGCGUAGGCCGCACGGUAAGUCAGAGGUGAAAUCCCGGAGCUCAACUUCGGAAUUGCCUCCGAUACUGCCGUGCUUGAGGACUGGAGAGGAGUCUGGAAUUCACAGUGGAGCAGUGAAAUGCGUAGAUAUUGUGAGGAACACUAGUGGCGAAGGCGAGACUCUGGACAGUUCCUGACGCUGAGGCACGAAGGCCAGGGGAGCAAACGGG